GACGUAGGUGGCAAGCGUUAUCCGGAAUCACUGGGCGUAAAGGGUGUGCAGGCGGGGAAGCAAGUGGUGUAUGAAAUAUCCCAGCUUAACUGGGAGGGGUUAUGCCAGACUGCUUUUCUAGAGGACGAGAGAGGGGCGUGGAAUUCCGGGUGUAGUGGUGAAAUGCGUAGAGAUCCGGAGGAACCCCAGAGGCGAAGGCGACGCCCUGGCUCGUACCUGACGCUCAGCCACGAAAGCAUGGGGAGCGAACGGG
rnacentral:rRNA from 1 species